UACGUAGGGGGCAAGCGUUGUCCGGAUUUAUUGGGCGUAAAGAGCUCGUAGGCGGUUGGGCAAGUCACGUGUGAAAUCUCCACGCUCAACGUGGAGGCGCCACGUGAGACUGCCCUGACUCGAGUCCGGUAGGGGAGCGUGGAAUUCCCGGUGUAGCGGUGAAAUGCGCAGAGAUCGGGAGGAACACCCGUAGCGAAGGCGGCGCUCUGGGCGGUACUGACGCUG
rnacentral:rRNA from 1 species